GAUCGCUCUGAGUCAAUGUAUUGAAAUCCCUGUUCCGUCAUCGUCUUGCAUAAAGCAUAUUACCGUUCCUUACCAAUCGUCCGCUUGCCUAUAGAGGUAGAGAGUAGGAAGAGGUUUGUUGUUGUGGGAGAAAACUAGAUUUUGAGUUCGUUCACCAACCCACUUGAGAUCGUUUUCUUGCACUCGGAGGGUGUAACAUCUGACAUCAGCUAGAAUGAGGCUCUGUGAUAGGCUCUGCUGAACUUCUAUAACAAGCUGCAUGUGCAUGCGAGCCUGCUACUUGGAGUAAAAAUGGAUCUCUACAACGAUCCGACAGGCACAAGUAGGCGAAGUGUGCAGCGAUCAGGUAGAAGACGAUUUACG